CAAGAGAGGCGAUCAUUCCUAAGAGUUCUCAUCACAAGGGGAAAACAGGUUUGUUUGUUUGUUUGUUUUUAAGUAAACAGAUGUGGGAAGAAAAUACCUGCAAAUCACACAUCUUACAAAGGGACUCAUCUAGUCUGUAUAAAGAACACUCAAAACUCAACAGUGAAAAAACAAACAAUCCAGUUGAAAAUGAGCAAAAGAUUUGAACAGACAUUUCACCACAGAGCAUACAGAGAUGGCAACACAUUAAAAUAUGCUCCACAUCAAUAGCCAAUAGGGAAAUGCAAAUUAAAAGCACUGUGCAUCCAUUUUAUACCAGUUAAUUAAAAGUUAGUGACCAUACUAAAAGCAGGUCAGGAUGCAGAGAAGCUAGACCAUUCAAACCUUGCUGAUGGGAAUGUAAAAUGAUAUAGUCCCUCUGGAAAAUAGAUCAGCGGUUCCUUAGAAAACCUAAACACAUACUUACCAUAUGAUCUAGCAAUCAUCCUCCUUGACACUUAUUACAGAGAAAUUAAACUAUGUCCCUGUAAAACCUGUACAUGAGUGCUCCUGCCAGUUUUAUUUGUAACAGCCCUAAAAGAGAAACAACCCAAAUGUUCUUCAGUGGAUGAAAGGUUAAACAAAUCAUGGCACAUUCCUACCGUGGAAUAAUACUCAGCCAAAAAGGAACAAAUUAUUGAUACACACAACUGGAUGGAUAUCAAGAGCAUUAUUUUGAGUUGGGGGGGGGGGGAGCACCAGGCUUGAAAUGUUCCAUAUUGUAUGAUUCCAUUUAUAUAGUAUAAUGCUGUUGAAAUAACAAAAAUAUAGAAAUGGAGAUGGGUUGCCAGGGGUCAGGGGUCAGAGGAAAGAGGGUGUGGGCGUGGCUAUAAACAGCAUUUGUGAGCCUGGGAUGAUGGAACACCUCUGUAUCUUGAUUGUGGUGGGGGUUACAUGGAUCUAUAAGUGGUUCUGACAUUGGAAUACAGUUAUUCAAGAUGUUACCCUUCAUGGGUGGGGAAUGAGAGGACGAGAUACAGGACCUCUUAUUAUAUUUUUUGGGAAUUUCCUGUGAAUCUAUAAUGUUUUUUUUUCUUUUUAUAAAAGGAACUGUUACACCUGCAACAACUUGGAUGAGUCUCCACAGCAUUAUCCUGAAUGAAAAAAGUCCAUCUCGAAAGGUUACAUACUGUGGGAUCCUACUCACAUAACAUUCUUGAAACAACAAAAUUGCAGAAAUGGAGAAUGAUCAGUGAUUUCUAGGGAUGAGGCAUGAGAUUGUGGGGAGAGGGGCAGAUUAACACAAGAGAGAUGUUCAUGGUGAUGGAACACACACACACAAAUGAGCGCAGGUAAAACUGACAAAAUCUGAGUUAGGUCUGUCUAUUGUAUUUACAUCAAUUUCCUGGCUGAAAUAUUGCACUGAUAUACCCAACAUAUGUAAAUCUCAAAUGCAUUGUGUUAAGUGAAUGAAUUCUAUUCAAAAGUCUAUAAGCUAUAGGAUUCCAUUUAUAUAAUGUUCUGGAAAAGGUAAAGCUACAGGGACUGAAAAUACAUCCGUUGCUGCCAGGGUUGUGGGUGGGACAAGGAGUUAACUACAAAUAGAUUACACAAGAGAAUUUAGGGAGGUUAUGAAACCGUUCUACACAUUGACUGUGGUGUUUGUACAAUAACAUGCACUUACCAUAGAACUGUACACUAAAAAGGGUGAAUUUUACCAUAUAUAGGUGCUUCCCUGGUGUCUCAGACAGAAAAGAAUCUGCCUGCAAUGCAGGAAAUCUGGGUUUGAUCCCUGGGUGGGGAAGAUUCCCUUGAGAAGGGAAUGGCUACCCACUCUAGUAUUCUUGCCUGGAGAAUUCCAUGGACAGAGGAGCCUGGCAGGUUACAGUUCACGGGGUCGCAAAGAGUCAGAUACAACUGAACAACUAACACACACUGUGAAACAAAACCACCACAAAAAAGACUAGAUCCACAACCACUAGUACAGCUGUUGUAGAAAGAAAGAAGGAAAGAGAGGGAGGGAGGAAGGAGGGAAGAAAAGAGGGAAAAAAGGAGGGAAGGAAGAAUGAAAAAUAACAACUCUUGGUGAGGAUGUGGUGAAAUUGAAAUGUUGGUGGGAAUGUAAAAUAGUGCAGCCACUAUAGAAAAAGUUAUGGUGGGUCCACAAGAAAUUAAAAUUAGAAUUACCAUAUGGUCCAGCAAUUCUAUUUGUGAGUUUAUACUCAAAAGAAUUUAAAGCAGGGUCUAGAAGAGAGAUAUCUGGACACCCACGUUCACAGCAGCAUUAUUCACGGAAGCCAAAAAGGUGGAUGCAACCCAAGUGCCCACCAAGGGAUGAGCAGAUAAAAUAUGGUCUAUACUUGCAAGAGGAUAGUAUCCAGCCCUAAAGGAAGGGAAUUCUGGCACAAGCUGUAACAUGAUGAACCUUGAGGACAUUAUGCUGAAUGAAAUAGGCCAUCACAGCAGGGCACACAGUGUGUGAUUCCAUUCACAUGAGGUACCUGGAGCAAAUUCAUAGAGACAGAAAGUAGAAUGGUGCUUGCCGGGGUGGAGGGGGCUAGGGAAUGGAGAGCUGUUGUUUAACGGGUGUUGAAUUUCCAUUUUGUGGGAUGAAAAGAGUCUGGGAGCCGGAUGGUGGUGAUAGUUGCAUAAUAAUGUGAAAGUACUGGACCCUACUGAACUGCCCACUUAAAAUGAUUAAUGGUCAAUGUUAUGUGUAUUUUACCACAACUAAAAGAAAAAAGAAAGUGGUGGUUUCUCACUGAAGUGCCUUGGAUGUGAUCCAGAAGGCUGACCAGCUGCGUGUCCUUGGGUAUCGCUCUGCCCAUAAAUGGUUUUUACCGAGUAAAUAGAAGAGAUGAACAAGACUGAAUAUGGGGUGCUGCUUUAGGAGACGUUGUUGGGGUAUGACAUCCGGUCACGGAGAAAAACUCCUGCCCCCCUGGGGAUGCACCCCCAAGCUUCCAAAGGGAGGAAAGGGAGUGACGGUGAAAAGAACCGGCUGGAACAGAAUGCAGAGGCAGCCGGGCCAGCCGCCAGGGCCCACUCGAGCCCCUUCGCCUGGGAACACUCCCAAGGCCCUGACCCUCAGGACCAGCGCCAAGCCUCCCAGCCCGUGAUGGGGCCUGUGUCUGGCUCACUCCCCCAUAUUUGGCCACCGCCUCUCUUGGCUGCUACCUUCUAUUCCAGCACAUGCCCCGCUUCCUCGUUCCCUCCCACACCUGUAAUUUGAAAAUCCACGAGCCCCACAGCCUUUUGCCUGGCGACCCUAUUCUUCCUUUGUCACCUGUCGCCAUCUCUACGAAGACUUCCCUGGCCUCCCCACGCUGCUCCUUAGUGUUCCAGCAGCCCGCUCACCAUCACCCUUAUCAGGGAGAAUGCCAUUUAUUUUCACUUUUUCACAAAAUACUUAGUGGGUACCUCCUGUCAGCCAGGCACUCUUCUAAGGCCCUGGGGGGUUAGCAAUAAAGAGAACAGCCCCAAACCGCUGCCCUUGAGGAGCCCAUGUUCUGGAGGGACCGCUCCCCCUCAGUGGAGGGGGACAGUGGACAGUGGACAGCGCACAGCAGGGCCCCAGCUGAUGGUGCCCAGGUGGCAGGUGCAGAGGAUCCUGAUGCGGCCCACCAGAGUCCACCAGAGUCCAGGAAGAGCUGAGAUUGUGCUGACAGGGAGAGGGAAGCCCGAGCAGGCGGAGGAGCCAGGAGAGGACUGAGGCAGACAGAGGUGGGGUGGGGUGUUCGCCUUGCCUUCCCUCCAAAGUCGCCUCCUCGUGUCUUCUCUGGUCCACAGCAUCUUUUUUUUUGUUUUUACCACCCACUCACUUCCACCCUAAUAAGAAAGGGCAUGGCCAUAUAAGAAGCUGGGCAGCUUUCUGCUUUCGGCUCAGAGGAGGCAAAGGUGCAACUUUCUUCAAUUGUCCCGAAUCCAAGUUCAGCAGCCGCCUUCACCAUGCCGCCAAAGUUUGACCCCAACGAGAUCAAAGUCGUGUACCUGAGGUGCACUGGUGGGGAAGUCAGUGCCACAUCUGCCCUGGCCCCCAAGAUUGGCCCCCUGGGUCUGUCUCCAAAAACGGCUGGUGAUGACAUCACCAAGGCAACUGGUGAUUGGAAGGGUCUGAGUAUUACAGUGAAACUGAUUCAGAACAGACAGGCCCAGAUUGAGGUGGUACCUUCUGCUUCUGCCCUGAUCAUCAAAGCCCUCAAGGAACCACCAAGAGACAGAAAGAAGCAGAAAAACAUUAAGCACAGUGGAACCAUCACUUUUGAUGAGAUCGUCAACACUGCCCAGCAGAUGCGGCAUCAGUAUCUAGCUAGAGAACUCUCUGGAACCAUUAAAGAGAUCACCCAGUCUGUGGGCUGCAAUGUUGAUGGCUGCCACCCUCAUGACAUCAUAGAUGACAUCAACAGUGAUGCUGUGGAGUGCCCAGCUAGUUAA